rnacentral:snRNA from 1 species
GUCUCUUCAGAGACUUCUGAUAAAAUUAGAAUGAUACAGAGAAGAUUAACAUGACUGUAUAGCAAGUAUAGACUGUAUAGUAAUGGAAGUGUGAAACCUUUCA